rnacentral:lncRNA from 1 species
AGUGAUUAGACAUAAGAUUUUAAUAAAAAAUGAGUAAGGUGUGCAAAGCAAACUAUCAACUAAACCAAAGAUCUAAAUAGCAACGAACCAAAUUUCGCUUAAACAGACGGUUCCAUAUUACUUUAAAAACUGUAAUGACACUAAAUAGAACCCUUAACACAUUCCCCAAUAUGAAAUUAAAAGGCUAUGAACGUUAACUUCAAAUCAAUGACUAUGAAAUAUGCUUCACACCGCUAAUCCAUUCACGAGCGCAAUCUACGUUGGGAAGCACCAUUCACGGUUCAUGUUCACGUUUCCAGCGUUUAACCAUAUGGUGCAGAUCCACACAAAACACAGAGGUCCGAACAUGAAGAUCAAGAACAUGAACACGACUACGCUUGGAUUAACAAUAACAACAUUUAGUAAACAACAAAAAAUGAACCUAGGGAACCGCGACUAAAGCAAUUUCAACUCGAACCUCAAUGAGAGCUUUCAAUUAAUAGGAUCUCAACAGUUACAAUAAUUUAAUCGAACGAGACUCAAAUCUAAAAUCUGAACGAGAAGACAGCAGCGAAUCAAACUCGAACCCGCGAACAACAGCGAACUCAACAGCCUUUCAAACGAGCUCCAUUUUUACCAGAAAACCCAGACGAGAAGAAGAGAAUGAAUAUCUAUAUAUAUAUUUUGAGCUUUUAAACAAUAAUCAAAACCAUAUCAAAGAAAGGACACUCAACAUUUCUAUGUGUAUCUAUUUGAAUCUGAAAACGUGAGAAGAAAAUCAGAAAUAAAAAUUCUUCAAGCCCUAGCCUUUUCUCUCCAAAUUUUCCGAAAAAAAUUCUCCACCCCCUUUCUUAGAAAAUUUUCCGCUACUUAUCAGGCACCAACCUGAUGAAUGAAGGGCCGGGAUCAAUUGAAGUCGAUCCCACGCUCCCCAUUCAUCCAGCAUAUGCCUUCUAGAGGCUUCCAACACGUGAGAAGAGAGAUGAGGGUAAGGGAAUCUGUCAGAGACCGUUAGGGUUGGUGACGUGGUGAGAUAAGGUCGCGUGUGAGUGAACUCGCCUGAGUUUUCAGGUGAGCGAGGGUUAAAUUGGCGGGUUUGGAGACGAAGACAGUAGCUGCGCCGCCUAGGGGUUUUUG